AAAUAAAUAAAAAUAGUGUUAGAAACUAUUUUUAUUGAAUUUAUAGAAGUAAAACAUAAGUCAGAAGUGACUUGUGCUGAAAUCGGAAUGAAGACAGAAGAUAUAGAAUUUUCUGUUGGAAACGGGACAGAUAAAUUAGCAGAAAAUGCACAGUCUCAGAAAAUUAUGAAAAUUGGAGGAUAAGUCAGAAAUAUUUUUAUGAGGCUAGAUUUAAAGUUUCAUAUUUUUCUGACAGCUGUAGAGUGAGAAAUAAAAUCCGACAACUAUCUGAUAAAGAUUACAGUUCGGUACAGUUUUCGGUGACCAAAUGGCGUCGAAACUGAAAACUUAAAAUAAAUUCUUACUCAGUACGUUAAACCGA
rnacentral:lncRNA from 1 species